ensembl:rRNA 5S_rRNA 5S ribosomal RNA
UCUUGUAGUCAGAAUUUUAAUGUUAAUAAGUUAUUUUAAAACAUUCAGGAGGAAGCUAAGCCAAGUUGGGCCUGGUUAGUACUUGGAUGGGAGACCACCUAGGAAGACCAGGUGCUGUAGGCA